rnacentral:rRNA from 1 species
UGCAGUCGAGCGAAUUGAUGGGAGCUUGCUCCCUGAUAUUAGCGGCGGACGGGUGAGUAACACGUGGGUAACCUGCCUGUAAGAUUGGGAUAACUCCGGGAAACCGGAGCUAAUACCGGAUAACAUUUUGAACCGCAUGGUUCGAAAUUGAAAGAUGGUUUCGGCUAUCACUUACAGAUGGACCCGCGGCGCAUUAGCUAGUUGGUGAGGUAACGGCUCACCAAGGCAACGAUGCGUAGCCGACCUGAGAGGGUGAUCGGCCACACUGGGACUGAGACACGGCCCAGACUCCUACGGGAGGCAGCAGUAGGGAAUCUUCCGCAAUGGACGAAAGUCUGACGGAGCAACGCCGCGUGAACGAUGAAGGCCUUCGGGUCGUAAAGUUCUGUUGUUAGGGAAGAACAAGUACCAGAGUAACUGCUGGUACCUUGACGGUACCUAACCAGAAAGCCACGGCUAACUACGUGCCAGCAGCCGCGGUAAUACGUAGGUGGCAAGCGUUGUCCGGAAUUAUUGGGCGUAAAGCGCGCGCAGGUGGUUUCUUAAGUCUGAUGUGAAAGCCCACGGCUCAACCGUGGAGGGUCAUUGGAAACUGGGGAACUUGAGUGCAGAAGAGGAAAGUGGAAUUCCAAGUGUAGCGGUGAAAUGCGUAGAGAUUUGGAGGAACACCAGUGGCGAAGGCGACUUUCUGGUCUGUAACUGACACUGAGGCGCGAAAGCGUGGGGAGCGAACAGGAUUAGAUACCCUGGUAGUCCACGCCGUAAACGAUGAGUGC